GACGAACGCUGGCGGCGUGCUUAACACAUGCAAGUCGAACGGAAAGGCCCUGCUUUUGUGGGGUGCUCGAGUGGCGAACGGGUGAGUAACACGUGAGUAACCUGCCCUUGACUUUGGGAUAACUUCAGGAAACUGGGGCUAAUACCGGAUAGGAGCUCCUGCUGCAUGGUGGGGGUUGGAAAGUUUCGGCGGUUGGGGAUGGACUCGCGGCUUAUCAGCUUGUUGGUGGGGUAGUGGCUUACCAAGCGUUUGAAGGGUAGCCGGCCUGAGAGGGUGACCGGCCACAUUGGUACUGCGAUACGGCGCAGAGUCCUACGGGAGGCAGCAGUGGGGAAUAUUGCACAAUGGGCGGAAGCCUGAUGCAGCAACGCCGCGUGCGGGAUGACGGCCUUCGGGUUGUAAACCGCUUUAGCCUGUGACGAAGCGUGAGUGACGGUAAUGGGUAAAGAAGCACCGGCUAACUACGUG
rnacentral:rRNA from 1 species